CAUCUUCCCUGUCCCACCCAG
rnacentral:miRNA from 1 species